rnacentral:rRNA from 1 species
UACGAAGGGGGCUAGCGUUGCUCGGAAUUACUGGGCGUAAAGGGAGCGUAGGCGGACAUUUAAGUCAGGGGUGAAAUCCCAGAGCUCAACUCUGGAACUGCCUUUGAUACUGGGUGUCUUGAGUGUGAGAGAGGUAUGUGGAACUCCGAGUGUAGAGGUGAAAUUCGUAGAUAUUCGGAAGAACACCAGUGGCGAAGGCGACAUACUGGCUCAUUACUGACGCUGGAGGCUACGAAAGGCGUGGGGAGCAAACAGG